GCAGAAAAUAGUUUUACCAUAUAUUAUAUAAAAUGUAUACAUAUACAACAUACAUAAUUAUGUACAAUUUCCAAAACAUAUCAGCAAAAUGUUAUAUGUAAUAUGUAAUAUCAAUUUUGUAGAUUAAAAUACAAGUAAAAUUUCACUUUAAGACAAUUUUCCUGGCCUGCAAAUUCAUUGUUAGAACCAGUUGAAAUAAGUACACCAUUUUUGUCCCUUUGAAAACCACUGUGAGACCAAUAUGCCAAAUCAAAAGUAAAGGCUUUUAUAUGUUCUGGGUUCUUGGGAUCAUGUAUAAUAGUGGUGGUCCCAGAUUGUAUUGAAAUCACACAUCUGCUUCUUGCAUUCUUCUCUCGCUAAAAGCAAAUCAAAAACAAUCUUAGAAUAAUUACUUAUAGCCUUUAUCUAAUUUAUAUUUACUUGUAGCUUUUAAUGCAAUAAGCCUGAAAUCAUUUUAAGUUGUAGUCAUUUAAACAUUUAAGCUUCUGUUUCUGAAGAUGCAUUCUUCUUUCCCAUUACACUGUCUUAGAAAGGUUUUGUUUUGCUUUAUGAAUUCUUAACAUAAGUGAUCCAGAUAGCAUCUGUUUCUACCACCCACACAAAUUAGGGUUGAGGCAGCAUCUUUAGUCUUCUAUUGCAAUUUAAGAACAAAAAUCACAGAAUUUUAGAAUUGGAAGGGAUCUCAAGAAAAUUCAGUUCAACUGGAUCAAGAUUUUCUUUGAGUCAGAUUUUCUUUGAAGGACCCUAGUAAAAGGAAAACAUUUCCUAAAACCAUUUGAAUAGCUCCAUUUAUUUUCUUGUUUGUUUUAACUUUAAAAUGUCUUAUUGCUCUUUCUACCCAAGUUUAGUUUGGCAUGAACAUUAUCUUUCUUCUAUAUGACUGCCUUCACACUUGAACAUAUAUAUAUAGCCAUCACAUUGCUCUCUCCCAAUCCCCCAUGAUUUCUUAUUUGGGCUAAACAUCCCUAAUUCUUUCAACCUAUCCUCACAUAGCAUAAAUCUCAGGUUCUUCAUCCUUGUCAUUCUUUCCUAAAUACUCAAAUUUACCAAAGUCACCCUUUAAUGUGGCAUUCAGAAAGAACAUAUUCCAAUUAUCUGACCAAAAUAGAGGGUUUUCUAUCCUGUCUAUCAGUCCCAAAUCACAUUAGAUUUACUAGCUACCACAUCAAAUUAUUGGCAUUAAGCUUUUAGUCCACUAAAACCAUUUAUAGAAAAAUGAUAAACCACUUACACUCAUUUUGAACUUUUUUGAAUCCCUACUACUCAAUUAGUAUUAGAUUUUAUGCUUGCUGUGUCGAGAUCUUUUUUGGAUCAUGGCUCGUCAUCCACUGGGUUAGCUAUUUUCCACUUAGUUUUUUGUAAUCUGUAAGCUUGAUAAGCAUACUUUUAUGUUUACUCCAGCUAGAAAAGCACAAGUUAGUUAGAAUGACUCCAUUUUCAUUCUUGCACCCUAAAGGAAUGCCAAUUAGAAUCUUUGACAAACAGUCAUUUAGCAUAAGCAAAAAAAUCUCAAGCUUUCCUAAGAAUUUAACACCUUUAUAGACUUUUUUUUUAAACUUUGGACACCUUUUUUUCCCUUAAAUUCCUAAUUCGUCUAAAUUUGCCCCUCUGCCACUUCCAUCAACUUCUUUUUAAUUUUUCCCCGAGGAUAGGGAAGACAUGCAUCAUUCCCUCUUUCACAUUACAAUCAGACAGCUGUAACGUACCACCUCCUGAAGCCAAUGAUCACCAUAUAUCCUUAGGUAAUCUCUCAUCUAAAUACUACUUGUACCUGACUGCUUCUUAAAUCAUUCUGGGUGUUUGUUAAUUAUAGACAUUUAUUAAAAAUGUUAAAUAAGAUCAAAACCAGAUAUUGUUAAGUUAUAUAAUAUUUCCAAGAUUUGAAAAGGGUUUUAACAUUGCAUAGAUUAUAUAUGAAUUGUCCCUAUUUUACAUGAGGAAAAUGAAACUCAGAGAUUGUAAUUUAUUCCAUUGACUCACCCCUGUAACUUUGGGCUCUAGUUAAUGAGCUUUCACUGUCACAUCUCGGGCCCAGGCCACUACUUCUCAGACUUCUCCCUACUCUUUUGAUCAAGAGAAUCAAUAUGUACAAAGUAAUGGUAAGGGCAAAAACUUGUGUAGUUAGCCUCAUCUAACCAAUAUAAUCAAGCCAACUUUCUCCCAAACUUCCUUUUCAUACCCAUUAAAAAAUGGAGAAGGGGUUGGAGUCAGAUAUUGAGGUAGCAAAAUACUAAAUGUUUUAAUAUUUAACAUCCACUCCAUUUAAAUAAGAUUUAUUGUAGUCCGAAGAUUACCUUUAAUGACAAGAACUUUUCAAUACUACUUUUUUGGGUGUGGAAGGGCAAAAUUAAUCUUCAAUUAGCAAAAUCAAAGAUGAUAAUCAUCAAUCUGCGAUUUAGAUUCUUAAAAUAUUUAAAACAGGGAUUAUCUUCCACCUCUUUUUAUAUCCUUAUACAGCAGUGUCUGGAACAUAGCAGGUAUUUAAAUGUUUACUGAUAUUGUUAUAACUAAUUAAACCAUUUAAAAAUCUGUAAAUGAGGUGGAAUGGUAUACAGCCAACUUAAAUAAAGACAAACUACUUUCCAAGUACUGUCUGCCACACAUACUAUCUGUGUGACUGAACAAUCACAGCCUCUCAAUGCUGUAGGCAAUUCUAUACAAGCUGUGAAAAUGCACUAGUAGAGGAAGGUUCCUCACUCAGAUUUACCUGCAUAAUAAUCAACAAUUCACAAACAGAAUUUCAAAGCACUUAACAUGGCAGUGGGCAGUUUAUUGAACUCAGGAGUCAAGAAAGAACUUGGUUUAAGUGAUGUCCCACUCACUCACCAACUGCUUGACCUUGUGCCCGUUUCCUUUAUCUACAAAAUUUGUACAAUAGUACAAUUGUCCACAGGCUUGCCGAGGAUCAAACGUGAUAAAAUGCUCUCCACCUUUUAUUGUUACAUAAACAUGACUUGUCACCAUCUUAACAUUUGAUUUUCACAACCCAAAGCAAUGAAGAAAAAGGCUGAUGAACCUUAAUCAAAGUUAGACAUUACUUGCUUAAUUAAGGCACCAAAAGCAAGUCUUCUUAAUUCUAAAUCCAGUUCUUUUAAAGAUGAUCCAGAAUGGUCAGAGAAAUUUAGUACUAGGUAACUUCUUGGUUUAAUUGUUUAGAAAUACUGUUCCAGUUUUAAGCUUUUUCAUUUUUCUAGAUUGUUUCUUUGAAUGUUGUUACAUAUCUCAGAGGGAUGUUUAUCCCUUAUGACAAAGGAGUGGGAGGGAAGCAGAGAUUAAAACAAAAACAAAAACACAAAAACCACUAACCAACACGUUAAAAAAAAAAAAGUCUAAUAUGAAUGCAACAACAUAAAAGAACAACAUAAACUGAAUGGUGUGAAAUUAUACUAUUUUUGACUUUGAAAAGUGACAUUCGUUAUUUCUCAUAAUCAGUUCAAAGGUCCUUUACAAUAGGUCAAAGUGAUAAGGUAUCAUAUGAUUACUGAGAAAACUGGUAUUAAUAAAACAAAGUGUAGUUUUAUACAAAAAAAGCUGUAACAAUUUUGAUUUUUAAUGUACUUACAAAAACAAGUGUUCCAGCUAGAUUGAAAAUUUGGCAAAUUCUCAUGUCAAAACAUUAUUUUCUAAGAAUAGUCUUUUAAAAUUUUUGGAAAGUAUGUUCAACUUUUGCUAUUUGUUAAAAGAACAAAAGUUCAAGUUGGUUAUUUUAGAUGUGUAUAAUCCAUUUCUGGACUGAAAAAAAGUACGGAAAGAAAAAUUUUCACUCCACAAUUUUAUUCCAUAAAUCCUACUUUUAGCAUAUGGGAAAGGAUAUCUUGAAAUAUUUUCUUAACAUUCAAAAAAGUUAUCAUGACUGACAUAAAUCCUUUCUUGGUAUGUUACUUUUUCUAGUGAAAUAUAUUUAAUAGAAUCACAAAAUUGGAGAGUAUCCCAAGCUGUCAUAUCUGAUUCAAACUAUAUCUGAAAGUAAAUCCCUGCCCCCAAUAUGGAUACCUGAAAAAUGGUCAUUCAGCCUCUGCUUGAAGACUUCCAAGAAUAAGGAACCUAAUUUUUAAUGAAGUUUACCUACCAUUAAGUCUAAUUGAUGCUUCCUGGAAUAAACUACUCAGAAUGUGUUUAAACAGGUCUAGACCAUUUGAAUAGUUUAAAGAGAAGUUUAAAUUUUAAAGAAGUUUAAAGAGAAAGCAGAUUCCUGCUAUCAAGUCAAAAUCAGUAUGAAAUUUUUGGUUGGCACAAAGUACUUACCUGAUUGGAAGGCCGAACUCAACCUGCAACUUUUACACUGUCCAUGCUUGGCGCUUCCAUUAUAUUUUCUUUCUUUUUAUGUUAUUUAGGAGAAAAGUAAUUAGGAAAAGCACUCCUAAUUUACACUAACCCAACCUGGUACUAAAAUGCCUGCCAACUUUCUACAUGAUUAAUUUUUAAUGUAGAUAACUAUCAAUUACCUGCUAUAAAUUAUUUUUAGGCAAUCUUCUAUAACCCUAGUUUAUUCAUGAACUUUGGGCCACCACCAAUUAAAACUUUAUUCAGAUACAUUCCAGAUAGGAUUUUAAAAAAGCACUUAAAAAGCACCUGUACUCUCUCGGUUAAUCAAAUCAACAUUUUCUAGCACCUUCUAUCAUAUUUAUCAGCACUAUUCUACUUCUCCUGAAUAAAGGGCUAAAAAAUCCUAUGCCUCUGCAGCUCCACAAGAACACAGAAAAUAUAAGCAGAACAUAGGGACAAUGAAACAUUUAUAUUCCUCAAAAUACUUAGCAUAAUGCUAGGAAUAAAAUAUAGUGUUCAAUGAAUUGUAAUUGUAAAGUGGGGAAAAAUUAUUUCAAAUCUCUGCCACUCCCCCCUCCUUUGUGUUCUUGUGGGAAAUGCUAUCAGUGAACUAGCUAAUUCAGUAAGGAUAAAUAGAUUGUAAAUGUUAAAGCAUUUGAAAAUGCCAUAUUUAAAGUAUGAUGAACUAGACAUGCCACUAUAUUUGCCAAGUAUAUUAUUACUUAGGGAAUUGAGUAUGUUAGAUAAUAAAAGGCACUCCCUUCCCCCUUCAACACUAUUCAUACUUUAAAAUCAAAA
rnacentral:lncRNA from 1 species